UGCAAGUCGAGCGGACAGAUGGGAGCUUGCUCCCUGAUGUUAGCGGCGGACGGGUGAGUAACACGUGGGUAACCUGCCUGUAAGACUGGGAUAACUCCGGGAAACCGGGGCUAAUACCGGAUGGUUGUUUGAACCGCAUGGUUCAAACAUAAAAGGUGGCUUCGGCUACCACUUACAGAUGGACCCGCGGCGCAUUAGCUAGUUGGUGAGGUAACGGCUCACCAAGGCAACGAUGCGUAGCCGACCUGAGAGGGUGAUCGGCCACACUGGGACUGAGACACGGCCCAGACUCCUACGGGAGGCAGCAGUAGGGAAUCUUCCGCAAUGGACGAAAGUCUGACGGAGCAACGCCGCGUGAGUGAUGAAGGUUUUCGGAUCGUAAAGCUCUGUUGUUAGGGAAGAACAAGUACCGUUCGAAUAGGGCGGUACCUUGACGGUACCUAACCAGAAAGCCACGGCUAACUACGUGCCAGCAGCCGCGGUAAUACGUAGGUGGCAAGCGUUGUCCGGAAUUAUUGGGCGUAAAGGGCUCGCAGGCGGUUUCUUAAGUCUGAUGUGAAAGCCCCCGGCUCACCCGGGGAGGGUCAUUGGAAACUGGGGAACUUGAGUGCAGAAGAGGAGAGUGGAAUUCCACGUGUAGCGGUGAAAUGCGUAGAGAUGUGGAGGAACACCAGUGGCGAAGGCGACUCUCUGGUCUGUAACUGACGCUGAGGAGCGAAAGCGUGGGGAGCGAACAGGAUUAGAUACCCUGGUAGUCCACGCCGUAGACGAUGAGUGCUAAGUGUUAGG
rnacentral:rRNA from 1 species